rnacentral:snoRNA from 17 species
CCCUCCUAUUUCUGCCCCACAUUCUUUACGCUACCAUAGAAUAAUGGGUUCUAUUAAUGGAGAAGAGAAAGCCUGCUAACGCAUUACCUACACUUUUGAUACAACCGUGGGUUUUUGUGUUGACAGGAUCGUGUGUAAGGGCCAAACACCUUUAAGAUUAGCUAAUUAUCUUAGAGAUAUGGUGCUUCACUACAUUU